CUGCCAGUAGUCAUAUGCUUGUCUCAAAGAUUAAGCCAUGCAUGUCUAAGUCCAAGCUGUGUUCACACGGCGAGACCGCGGACGGCUCAUUAAAUCAGUCGUGGUCCAAAUGGGCCAGUGCAAAUCCUACUUGGAUAACUGUGGUAAUUCCAGAGCUAAUACAUGCAACUGAUAUCCCGAAGGCGGUGUUUGGGCUUGCUUGCCUUGCGCUGCGCUGCUCUGACGGAUGCUUUUAUUAGACCAAGCCGCUGAGGACUUGAGGGUUCGCGCUCUCUUGUCUGACUCGUGUGAUGGUGACUCUGGAUAACCAAAUUCUGACAAGCGCACGUACUUCUCUUCUGAGCGAGACGGCGCUGCCACUUUCGAGUGUCUGCCUUAUCAGCUAUCAACCGUUCGUUAUGCGCGACCGAUGGCUUUGACGGGUAACGGGGAAUCAGGGUUCGAUUCCGGAGAGGCAGCCUGAGAGACGGCUACCACGUCCAAGGACGGCAGCAGGCACGCAAAUUACCCAAUCCCAGCAAAUGGGGGAGGUAGUGACGAAAUCUAACGAUGCGGGCGCCCUUUCUGGGGCCCCGCAAUCGGAAUGGGCACUUUCUAAACAACCUGUUGAGAA
rnacentral:rRNA from 1 species